GUUUAAUUAGAAUAAUUCAUUUACAAUGAAUUGGUUAAUAAUUCUAUAGAAUUU
rnacentral:tRNA from 1 species